rnacentral:rRNA from 1 species
GCCAGUGGUGAUAGCACAAUGAAUACACCAGUUCUAAAUGGAUCACUGAAGUUAAGCAAAGUUGCACGUGGUUGGUAUCCAGAUAAGUGACCAAUUCAACUCUCUGGGCAAUAAUCGCGUACUGCUGGUU